GCGUUGGAAAUUUGAGAGGAUCUGCUCCUAGUACGAGAGGACCAGAGUGGACGAACCUCUGGUGUACCGGUUGUCACGCCAGUCGCAUCGCCGGGUAGCUAUGUUCGGAAGGGAUAACCGCUGAAAGCAUCUAAGCGGGAAGCCUACCUCAAGAUAAGAUUUCCCCGAGGCUUUAUGCCUCCUAAAGAGCCGUUGAAGACUACGACGUUGAUAGGUUGGAUGUGGAAGCAUAGCGAUAUGUGAAGCUGACCAAUACUAAUUGCUCGUGAGGCUUGACUAUACAACACCCAAACAGUUG
rnacentral:rRNA from 1 species